AUGAACGCUGGCGGCGUGCCUAACACAUGCAAGUCGAGCGAGAAAUCUUUAAACAAAUCUUCGGAAGAGUGAUGAGAUGGAAAGCGGCGGACGGGUGAGUAACGCGUAGGCAACCUGCCCCAUACAGAGGGAUAGCCUCGGGAAACCGGGAUUAAAACCUCAUAACACGAAGUAUUCACAUGUUUGCUUCGUCAAAGAUUUAUCGGUAUGGGAUGGGCCUGCGUCUGAUUAGCUAGUUGGUGAGGUAACGGCUCACCAAGGCAACGAUCAGUAGCCGACCUGAGAGGGUAAUCGGCCACAUUGGAACUGAGACACGGUCCAAACUCCUACGGGAGGCAGCAGUGGGGAAUAUUGCACAAUGGGCGAAAGCCUGAUGCAGCAACGCCGCGUGAGCGAUGAAGGCCUUUGGGUCGUAAAGCUCUGUCCUUGGGGAAGAAAAAAAUGACGGUACCCUUGGAGGAAGCCCCGGCUAACUACGU
rnacentral:rRNA from 1 species